GGGCAAGAUGGCAGAAGAACCAUUACCAUUACUAAACUCAGUAAUGGUAACGGUUUUGCUGACACCCCGCGA